UGACCAAACAAAGCAGAAGGGUGUGAGCCCUGUUGUCCUGGGAGGGGUAUAUAUGCAGAGGGCAGGACUCCUGAGGUAGACAACUGAGCAGCUGCAACAUGGCAAAAGUGGCGGAGAAAUCAUGGGCGCCACGAACCAGGAACACCAAGCGGUGGAAGAAGAGGAAGAGCCCCUCUCGGUCCAGAUCAAGGGGCGCUAAAAAGGUGCUAAAGAUCUACAAGAAGGUAAAAAGAUCACUUCAUGCAAAUUCAAGAAAGAAACACUCUCCUAAAGUCACGACCACUUCAAGAAGAAAGAAGAGAGCAAGAAGGGCCAGCAAGUUUCAGCCAUUGCUGUAGACUAAGAGCCACAAGCAGCCAGGCCCAGACCCAGUGGACCCUGCAAGCUACACCACUCCCAGACAAGACCAUGCAGCAGUACCUACAGAGCAGGCUUCAGAGACCUCGGACAGUCUUCAUCUAGAGACCUGGCUGCGGAGAAAUGGCCAACUGCGUAGAGACCGACUCAGACCUUAAUGUGGAAUUCGGAACACGAAUGGAGGUGAUUCAAAUAAAAUCAACAUGGUGGGAGAAGCCCCUCCACGAAAUAAAAGUAGGCACUCUGCACAGCAAUGAUGAAUUGUGUUGCGUUACUACUUGAGAUCGUUCCUCAGAAUGAGAGAGUGAAAUGGCAGAGAGGCUUAGUUAGCAUCUUUAGUUUAAACCAAGUCCCUGGUCCCCUGACAUCUUCCCGAGCAGAAAAAGUACAUACAGCUUGCCAGGGGUGGAAAAAUAUCCUUUCCACCAGAGUCCCUAUCUCUGGCAGAUGACUUUAACAACUCCCUUACUUGGUAGUCAACAUUCGUUUCCAAUGUGGGUGAAAUCGGGAGAACACAGCAAUGGCCAUGCUCACUCUGAGAGGCUUAAGGGCAACGGGGAAGGGAAAGGAGAGAACCUCGACGUCCCCAGGAAGCUCUGACUUUGUCAGUCUUGAUACAGAACUGAGCUGCUCUGGUCACUUGGGAAUAAUUCAGUGGGGAGUCGAAGGUCUCUGAGCUUCAUUGGCUCCCUCAUCUUCUGUUGACCUCAUGGUGAGUUGUAACAAAGGCCAGCAGCACCAGGCCCACCCACCAGGAAGGGGGAGUCAUGUGGCCACGUGAAGCAGAAGCCUCACCAGAUACCCAUCUCAGGUCUGGUGCUGCCCAGGCUCCCCCGUCUCACACUCCCUGAGGAUCACCCAAGAAACUUUGCUCUACUGCCCACCACUCUUGGUCUGGUCUUCCUCUUCAUUCUUCAUUCUUCCAAGUGGUGGGACCAAGAGCCACCCAGGUACCGAAGAAAAAGAAAUCCUGCAACAUGACCAACAUCUACGGUAUCCCCAGUCUGAAGGUACACCUGGGGAAGCACAUCAACACUGAGGAUUCGAAUUCCACUGGCUCACUCUUCCCCCUACUGAGGCACAGAAGACAUCAGUCCCAUUUCAAAACUGUUUCUGGGAAGCCCUAGGGCCUGUGUGAAAGUGGCAGCGGGGCCUCGCUGUGGGAAGCUUUCCUGUGGCCCCAGGCCUCUGCAGGACGGGCCCCAGUGGGUUGGGGUGCACAGUGGCUUCACCUGACUCCUGAAGCACGAGUGGAAACCCUGGCUGUUUCUGUACAGCUGCAGUCCCAGCCGUAGGAUAACCAACCUAACGCUGGGAGCUUUAUGUUAAGGCUUAUUGUCCUUUAAAAAAGAACCAACACGGAACACCUGGGUGGCUCAGUGGUUGAGCAUCUGCCUUUGGCUCAGGUCAUGAUUCCGGAGUGCUAGGAUCGAGUCCCAUAUCUGGCUCCACACAGGGAGCCUGCUUCUCCCUCUGCCUGUGUCUCUGCCUCUCUCUGUGUCUCUCAUGAAUGAAUAAAUAAAAUAUUUUUUAAAAUAAAAAAAAUAAAAAGAACCAACACGACGCCUGUGGUUAGUGGAGACGUUAAAUGCGUGACGUGAAGCACUUGCAUCCCCUCAUUGCUGCAGUGACUGUUUACUGAGUUCGAGUCUACUUGCUGGGGCAGCGAUGAGGACAGCCCCGGCCUGUGGAGUCAGCCAGUGAAUUCGGGUCCCUGAUACCAGCGCACCUCCACAGUCCAGCACCUUGGUCUCCAUCAGGUGUUCUGAGAUUCUGAGCUAAAGAGUUGUGACCUUCAGCAGCAUAAAUCAUGGGGAGGGAAGGGGAGGCUGUUGGGUAUUUUCUCUUUCCUAAUGAAAGUAGCUGUAAAAAAAAAAAAAAAAAAAAAAA